AACGAACGCUGGCGGCGCGCCUAAUACAUGCAAGUCGAGCGAGAAGACGUAGCAAUACGUUUGUAAAGCGGCGAACGGGUGAGGAAUACAUGGGUAACCUACCCUAGAGUGGGGAAUAACUAGCCGAAAGGUUAGCUAAUACCGCGUACGCUCCUUGGACUUCGGUACAGGGAGGAAAGCGAUACCGUGGGUAUCGCGCUCUUGGAUGGGCUCAUGUCCUAUCAGCUUGUUGGUGAGGAACGGCUCACCAAGGCUUCGACGGGUAGCUGGUCUGAGAGGACGAUCAGCCACACUGGCACUGCGAUACGGGCCAGACUCCUACGGGAGCAGCAGUAAGGAAUAUUGCGCAAUGGGCGAAAGCCUGACGCAGCGACGCCGCGUGGGGGAUGAAGGUCUUCGGAUUGUAAACCCC
rnacentral:rRNA from 1 species